rnacentral:rRNA from 1 species
AUGGCAGGGGCCAAGAAAAUUCAGCAAUUCCGCCCCAUUUGCCUCCUCCGCUGCCCCUAUAAAUUGAUUACCAAGGUGUUGGAUAACCGCGUUGCGAUCUAUGCGGAUAAGCUGAUCAGCCGCCACCAAAAUGCCUUCAUUAAAAACAGAAACAUCAUGGAUGGAAUUCUGUCUUUGCAUGAGGUAUUGCAUCAUGCUCACAGUAAGGGAAAAGUUGGUGUGGUCCUAAAACUUGUUUUUGAAAAAGGAUACGAUAAAAUCAACUGGGAUUUCCUCCUGGAGUGUCAUAAGAUGAGGGGUUUUAAUGAUAAAUGGUGUGGAUGGAUUAAAAAGAUCCUGAAUAAUGGCACGGUGAGCAUCAGGUUGAAUAAUGAGACUAGGCCCUCAAUAAGGUCAGGGCGAUCCCCACUCACCUUUCUUGUUCAAUCUAGCGAUUGA